rnacentral:lncRNA from 1 species
CUAAUUGAUCAGAUUAGAAGUAAUUGUUUUCAUCAAAUACUACAAUCCUGCCUAGCUGAUGAUGAGGAAAUUACUUCAUUUUAUAUCGUCUUACCUCCGAUCAGGCCAGCUUCCUUCCCAUCAUUCGAAAUUUAAUUCCUCAAAUGUAUCUGUUCAAUUCAUAGCUCCCUCAUUUCUUCGCCAAUUCUCUCUCACUCUCACUUUCUUUUCAAUUUUUUCCUGUCAUUCUUUUUUAGCUUUGAGUAACCACAGGCCAAAAAAAACACGGUACAGUAGGAAGAGAGUUUUUGUGAGAGAGAAACCCUAAGUUUUCUCUGGUGUUUCUAGUUUUUGUGAUUUUUUAAAUCUGCUGCUUCAUCGGAGACUCAUUUCAGGUAUCAAUCUCUGUUUUAGUUUCAGAUCCAUGCUUCUUUACUUGUAUUUCAGUGGGUUUUUCUUAGGGUUUUUGGUUUUCAGCUUUAGAAAUAACUGGUUCGUUCCGUCUGUCAAAUCUAUAGAUGUUGGUCUUGUUCUUCAUUUUUGUUUGUUUAUCGUCUACUGUAUGUUGUUCUUUAUUUUUGGAUUGUUUGUUUCCCUCUGUUUAAUGUUAUAGCUUUUUUGUUAUUGUCUAUUUCUUUUAAAUCUUUGCUUAGCAGAAUACUAAUUGCCUGAACAAAAAGCAUCCGUAUGUAAAUUGUUUACUGCAUCUGUGUUGGCUUGAUUUGAGUUCUAGGAACCCAGUAGGAGUUGUGACGCAUGUAGGGUUUAUUUGGUAGUUUUUUCUGGAUGGUAAUAGCAUGUCUUUUUAAUUCGUAGUGAGUUGUGACAUUCUGUUUCUUAGAUUUCUCAAAAAAUCUGUCCUUUAGUUUUUAAAAAAAAUAAUAAUCUAAUUGGGAUGCUUGUUAAUAUUGAUAGUAAUUGAAGAACUGGAGAAUUUCAACCUAUUUGCUAAUUGCAAAGGUUUUUUUCGAUUUGGGUUUCAUGAUCAUAUACGGUGGAGAUUGUCAUGAUUCGUGUAUGCAUAUAUGUUUUCUUUUUCAUACUGCUAGGUAGUUGCAUUCAUCAGUAAAAUAGUUGGGAUUGGUCGUGUUCUGUUGGGUAUGAUUUGCAAAUGGAUUUUGAUUGGAAGUUUUAGGUAGACCCAUAGUAUCUCUGUAUAUCAGCUGAAUGGGAAGUUUUGUGUGACUAUUGAUAUAUCCAUGUGGUGAAAUACUCAGAUUUUGGUUAAAGAUAGAAUUAUAUUCAUCUGUGUUAUCUAGCCUUAUAUUCGAAACCCUAUUUGGUUAACAAUGGAAGUUUAACAAAAGCGAGGGUUUUAGCUGCUUCCAUGCUAUUUUCUUCUUCAUAUCUGGAAAAUAUUGCUAUCUAAUUCAGAAGUACUUCUGAGUAAGUCUUUUUUUCUCAAUUUUCUACCUAUUUAGAUACAUUCAUAUAUUUUAAUGAAUUUGGGUCUCCCUGGUAUUCUAGGCGAUUCUUUAUUUUUAAUAGAACUUUGGAUAUGUGGUAAAUAUUUUCGUUUUGGGAGUAAAUUUUGGUACAGAAAUUGCAUAUUAGUCCAACAUCAUCUAUGUAUUCAAUUGAAUGUGUUUUCCGUCUUUUAAGGAUGUUGCUUAUGGAUUCCUUUACGAAGGUUUCUUUCGAUCGCAGCAUUAGAGGUGGAGAUUUGAUUAUUGUAUAUGAGAGGCAUGAUACCAUGAAAGCUGUUAACAGUGUGCGAGAAUUCGGUUCUUCAAAAUCGUUUCGGUGUAUUUAAAGCUGUUAAAGCUGCAUUAUAUUUGUUCAGGGAAUAAGAAAACACUAAUUAAAUCAUACUGAGUUUUUAAAUAUUUCCAGAGAAUUUGACAUUUCACAACAACAUUUUAGUAAGUGCUGGGUUUAUUUUCAUAUUCCACGUUGUAUCUCGCUUAGGGAUAAGCUAUUCCAAGAAUAUUCCCAUCAUAUCCUGUCCCGGUUCAGUAUUUUUAGUUCCCAGUUCAGCUGUUUUGGUAUCCGGUUCAGCUUGGAAAAACAGGCCCAAUUUUAUUUUGGUUGAGAGAGUUUAGUAUUGUAUUUUGCUUAAGAAAUGAUUUAGUUAGAAUAUAAAAUAUGAUUAUUUAGUUUUUAAAGUUAAUAAUAAAGUUAAGGGAUAAUGCAUGACAAACGGUUUAAAAAUAAGGAGAAAAUAAAUUUUAGAGUUAUUUAACGUAAGGUUUAAAAUAUUUUAAAAUAAAUAAAAAUUUAAAAAUAAAUUGCACGUGAGUAUGUUUUAAAAUAUCAAAAAUUUAAAUUUAAAAUCAAAAUCGAAUUUUUAAAAUUUUAAUUAUCAUAUUGCAAAAAAGAUUUGAUAAAAUUUAAAUAUUAAAUAUAACAUUAAUAUAUUUUUCAACAAACUUGCAAUGAUAAAACCAUAGAAAGUGAAUUUUUUUUAUCGCUUGGAUGCUUUAUUUACUUAUUUAAAUUUAUUUAUUAUAUAAAUAGUAAAUCGUACUAAUCAAAACAUAUAUUAUUAAUCAACCAAACACUUUGGAAGGGAAUAUUGAAUUUUUUUAAAUAAUAUAAAAAUUUAUUUAAAAUUUUAAAACAAUUUUCAAUUUUCUAUAAUUAGAUAAAUAUCAUAAAAAACUUAUGGGUCGUGCCCGGCCCGGCAUCGAAUCAAAUGCCUUAUUACCUAACCUUGGUUUUCUUUUCCUCUUCAAGUCACACUCACACCCCCCCAAUUUCUAACGGCUAAUUUCAAAAUCCCUAACCCUAACAAAAUAGCUUUGCCUUCUCCACUCCAACACCCUACGGCCACCACCAUUGUCGUUCACGAGUCAGGCAGUCACCAUCGGUCCGCCAUCAUCGUUUACCAGUCAGUUAGUCACCAUCGGUCCACCCAUCAAUCUCUUUCAAGUAAGAGCAAAAUUAAAAUUGUAUUCCUUUUCUUUUUCAAGUAAGAGCAAACCCGUUACUACUCAACUAUAACUCAGUAGCAUUUUUGGCAUGCAAGUAGCUCAUAAAACCAAAACCGCUCCUCCUUUUAUUCUUCUUAUGCUUUUUGCUUUUACAAUUUUUUUUCGUUUUCCCCUAGGGUUUUAUUCAGCGCAGCCGGCUAAAGGUAAAGUCUGCAUUUAGUUUCGAGUUAUUGAAGUAGUUUUUUUAAAGAUAUAAUUAGGGUUUUGGAUAGUGAAUUUUAAGUGGAUUUGUUGAAUUCUACCCCCGAAAGUUUUGUCUUUGUAUGUAAUGUAAUUAGUCUUUUGAUAGUGAUUCUUAAAUUUGAUGCUUUCAUUUCUGUUUUUAUAAUAUUUUUUGUCUUCUUGCUUGCAAUACUAACUAGAAUAUUAGAUAUUAAUUGUAUUUGUACAGUGAGUCAAUGAUAUUAUAUUUAAUUUAAAUCUAAUUUGAUCUGGUAUGCUUCGUUCAUUUAUAAUUUCAAAGUUUCAAUCUUUUUAAUAUCGAUUUGGCACAAUGGAUCUCGAAUAUUUAAUAUUUAAGUUUGUACUUGUAACUUUCUACUGGUUUUCUUUGUUAUUAGUCUGUCCCUACAUUUUGAAGGCAGCAGAUAAUUGGGUUUCUAUUUUCUAAGGUUGUAUAGUAAUUCUCCUUAAAAACUGAUGAAAGCAUGAUCAUCUUUUGUACCUAUCUUCAUCUGUUUUAUGCAAUUUAAAUUAAGGGUCUCCUUCAUAAUGUUGAUAGUUGAUUGGACAGAUCACCAGUCCAUCGUAAGAUUUUUGUAUUUAGUUGCAGGCAAUCGCUCAUUGCCCUCAUUUUUCCACUGGUUUUCAUCUAUUUUGAUUUAUUCAAAAGCUGAAGAUUUCAUCUGGCAUUUACAUGGUUGUUAAGGACAUUUUCUUGGAAUGAUGAGUUCUUUAUCUAUUUUUAUUCUCAUUUUCCAGGUUUUCAUCUUUUUGAUUUCUUCAGAAGCUGAUAGUGUUCGCGUUUCUCUUCUGAUAAUUUAUUUGUUUUUCACUGUUUCUCGAUGCCAUGUUCAGUUGUGAGUAGUGCAUGUUGUCUCUUAUCAUGAUUUACUGAAUUAUUGUGGUUUUGAACUUGUAACAUUGUGUUUCUCAUUCUUCCUUGUUUGUUUGCUCAGAAAACUGAGGGAAAAUGGGUAUUGCAAGGUGUUGUAUUGUUUUUCUGACUUUUAGUUGCAGAAAAUACUUGCUCAACUAAGUUUAAGAGCCUUUUUGUAAGCAGACAAGAGGAUCUUUAUCCUUAAGUCCUAAAAUGGAGGUAAAUAUUUUAGGUCCUUUUGUUAUCUUUUUCCCCAUUUUGAAUUAUGGGACCAAGGAAUGUUCUAACUUAAUUUUUCCUUGUUUGACUAAUAUUUGAAGGAUUUUUGGAUUGAGAGACCUGAAAUAAUACCUCCUUUUGUAGUUCAUUAAGGAAGGAAGUAAGAAGAGAUUUUGGGAUCAAUUAACAUCAAUUUUAACCAGAAGAAUGUGGUCAUAUUUGGAGUUUAAGUCUCGCAUUUUAUCUGGUGCUAAGGUGGUGCAUAUUAGUCAGUCCAUGGAUCAAUGCAUAUUAGUCAGCCCAUGGAUCAAUGCAUAUUCAGUUUUCUUUUCAUACUGUUAGGUGCUUGUACUCAUCAGAAAGGAUCUGGGUAUAUUUUCUUUAAAAUAGUUGAGUGGAGCUGAUCAAUGAACUUUGUUGGAAUUGUUUGUGUGCUGGUGCUUAUAUGAUUUGGAAAUGGAUUUUGAUUGAAAUAUUCAGUUAAUUCCUAAAUGCAUGGCAUGGUUGGAAUUAGGGAUGUAGUUGAAUCGAAAAGGUUGUUUUAUAUUACAAAGUAGUUACAAGUGGUUUUUGUGCUGCAUUAGAAGAUGUUAACUAUGUGAUGUUUUCUUUCUUCUGAAGAACGCAGUAUAUUUGCCUUUUUUUUAUCUUGAAGUGAGAGUUUUCUUUCAAAGUUUCAUAUUUGAAUUGUAUUACUGGUUUAUUUUUAAAAAAAUCCAAAGUAUUCAUCUUUUGCUUUGGUAUUGUUAAUUAUGUAGCAAAAGAAGGUUUAUCUUUUGAGGACGUCGGCCAUUCAUAUUGACCCAAGGUAUCUCUCUACAAUCUCAUGAUUUUGUUUGGAAUAACAUUGAUGUGUGUUGUUUUAUUUGAUUGUUGUUUCCUGUCUACGUGGCUGUUAAUGUUUUAUUUGGCACAUUCCAUAUAAAUUUUGCUUCCUGCAUCUGUAAGUGAAAUGUGUGUUUAUAUAUUCUUUUUAUAUAUUUGCAUUCAUCCAUAAAUGAAAUUUGCAUGUAUAUAUAUUUCUUUCUAUCUGUUAUAAAUUUUGCUUCAUGCAUCUGUAAGUGAAAUGUGUUUGUAUAUAUAUUCUUUUGAUAUAUUUGCAUGCAUCCGUAAGUGAAAUUUGCAUCUAUAUAUAUUCUUUUGAUAUAUUCUUUCUAUCUGUUUGUGUAUAUAUAUCCUUUCUAUCUGUAUGUGUGUGUGUCACGGGGCAGUUUGGCCCGUGACAUGUGCAUAAACUUUUUUUAUAUAACUCUUUCUAUCUUCCAUAUAAAUUUAGCUGCAUGCAUCUGUGAAAUUUGUGCACAUAUAUUCUUUUGAUUCAGGGGUUCAAAUUUUAAUUUUAGUUGAAAAGUUAAUUGUGUAUUUAUAUAUAGUAUAGAUUUAAUAAUAUAGUAUAUAAACACACAUUUAAUUAAUAAUUAAAAUAUUAUCUUUUACAAAGUAAAUUAUAUUAUUAUGAUGAUAUUUUUAUAUAUAAAAUCAAUAAAAAUAAUAAUAAGAUUUUUACAAGAAUCACAAAUCUUUAACUUUUAAUUUUAUUAUUCCAACAAAAAUUUCAUUCCGGUUUCACUUUUUUUUUAUAAAUAUAUAGAUGUACCAUAAUCUAAUACAAUAAAUAAUAAAUGAUAGGGUUGGCCAAACUUCUGUAGCAGCUACUCGUGGGGCUUCUUCUCCACAUACCAAUAAUCCUAACCAAGCGGCCUCUUUGGUUUUUUAGUUAUGAAAAAUAUUUGCUUAACUAAAUUUAAGAGCGUUUUUAUAAGCUUUUUACCCUUUAAGUCCUAAAAUGGAGGUUAAUAUUUUAGAUCUUUUUGAUAUCUUUUUCCCCAAUUUCCCCAAUUUGAAUUAUGGGACCAAGAAAAGUUCUAACUUAGUUUGACUAAAAAUGAAAAGAACCUGUUUUAAAAAGGAAAAGGGGUUGGUGAUGGCGCCGCACUUCAGGAUUUUGGGGUUCGAAAUAAUUCUCAGGUGUUGUAUUUGGCCUCUUCACUUUUCUGGAAAAGUUUUUUUUUUUUUUGUUAUGAUCAUUCUUUGCUCGUUUCCUGCUUAUGAUCUCACCUUAGAGCCUUAACAUCAAUUGACCUGGCAAAUAUCAACUUAAACAAGAUUCAUAUGCUAAUGAAUUAUGGGAAUCCAUCAUCCCGAGUAUUGCAAUUACAAUUACUGGGGCUAUAAUGUCUAGCAGCUGGCGGCAUGUAAAUUAUAAACAUGAAGAAUUCCUCCUCCUGGGAUUUUAUGAUGUGUAUUGCAGGUACAUUUUUUACCUUAUGUUGUCUAAAAAGGUUCUGGGAGACAUUCUAAGAGGAGAAAACACCGUUUCUUCCAUGGCCUGAACAAGCAUUCAUGAUGACAUUCAAUCAUUCGGGCAUCCCUGUUUUCUGAUCCAGCUCAUUCCACAAAUUCACAAUGUUCCAUAGCAAAGUAAAUGUGGUACAAGUACAUUGAUUUCUAGUUGACAUUUUAAAUGAAUUUUAAAGCUCUUGUAAUACUAAAUUUUUAAUAAAUUAGCUUUAUCAUAUCUCGUUUUCUCAAAACCAAAUACAUUGAUCAUGUCAUCAUCUCCAAGAUUCCACAAUUUUAGUUGAAAAGUUAAAUGUGUAAUUAUAUAUAGUAUAGAUUUAAUAAUAUAGUAUUAUAAAUACAUAUUUAAGUAAUAAUUAAAAAUAUUUUCUUUUACAAAGUAAAUUAGUUUAUUAUGAUGAUAUUUUUAUAUAUAAAAUCAAUAAAAAAACAAAUAAUAAGAUUCUUAAAAGAAAGACAAAUCUCAUACUUUUAGUUUUCAUCUUUAUAAAUCCUUUGUCUUUGCCUGUUCAUCUCUGUUUUUUGUUUCAGAUAUAUUUAUUCAUCACUCGAGGCAAAGCAAAAGGGAAAGUAGGAGGAUUUUGAGGAGAGUGAAAAAUGGCUGGUCCUGCUUCAUCGGAGAGUGAAGUCAUUCUGAAAAUACUAUUCGGGUCAGGAGGUUGCCUCAGUUCCCACCAUUUUUAUCGGUGGAAAUCAUGAAGCUUCCAAUUAUUUAUGGGAAUUGUAAGUCACCCCUUUUUCUUCAUAUGUUUUAGCUUGGGGAUUUUGAUUCUUUUAUGAAAAGGCCUUGAAUUUUACCUUCUGCAAUUGAAAUGUGUGAACUUUAGGUAUUAUGGGGGAUGGACGGCACCUAAUAUAUACUUCUUGGGGUUUGCUGGGGUUGUGAAGUUUGGCAAUAUCCGUAUCGGUGGACUUUCCGGAAUUUACUAUGCACGUAAUUAUUGUUUAGGUUGGGUUUGAAGUUCUUUUACUUGUCUAUUUUGUGUUUAUUCUGGAGUUCUUUUAAUGAUGAUUGUUUAUUUACUGCAAGCGAGUGUCAAAUAUGUUAUAUUGAUUCGUAUUUAGGGUGGAGAGUUGAAGCUUUGAAACUGAAAUGAAUUAGCUAGGGAGCUUCAAAAUUUUAGGGGCUAGUCCCCUGUGAACCCCUUUGGCUCAAAUGUUUUUGCGUGUAGGCUGCAUCGGAUUGUAAUUUCAGGUAUGAUUUUCACUUUUACUAACUUUUUAUUUUCAUGUUUUUUUUUAGUUUCAAACCUAUGCUUAUCUUCUUUUAGAACAAGUUUUCAUCUCUGUUUUAGUUUUCAGAUUUAUGCAUAUAUUCGUCUUUUUAAUUCUUGUGAUGUCAUUUUUUUGAUAGUUUAUUGCCUGUUAUGUGUUUUAUUUUUUAUUUUUGUCGGUUGUUUGUUUCUCUCUGUAAUCUGUAUUGAGGGACAUUUUCUUGCAAAUCUUUGAGUCCUAUUUAUGAGAUUUUAUAGCGAAGAUAUGUUUCUAACAACUAUAUAAGUAUCUACCCUAAAACCUUAACUGAUUAGCAGAAAAUAAAUGGUGACAUUUUCUUGUUUCUUUCCCUUUUAUUGUUUCCUCAUUUUCUCUAUUUCAACAAGUAAAAACACUACAUUUGUUGAGGGAAUAAGAAAACACUAAUUAAAUCAUACCGAGUUUUUAAAUAUUUUCUGAGAAAUAUAUUAAAUAUUUUCACAACAACGUUUUAUUAAGUACAGGGAUAUCCCCGUCAAUAAAAAAAAAAAGAAGAAAAAGUACUGGGUUAAUUGCCUUAAAGAAAAAAAGAAAAAGAAAAAGUACUGGGUUUAUUGCCUUCAAAAAGAAAAAGGAAAAGAAAAAGUACUGGGUUAAUUGCCUUCAAAAAAAAAAAAAGAAUAAGAAAAAGUACAGGGUAAAUUUUCAUUCUUCUUCUGGUGUAGGGAUAUCCCCGUCUUAUCCUGCGUCGGAAUAAGCUAUUCCAAGAAUAUCUCUAUUAAUUCCCGUUCUGGUUCAGUACUUUUAGUCCCCGGUUCAGUUGUUUUUGUAUCCGGUUCAGUUGUUUUUACAUGUCUGGACCGGGCUACCUGUGGUGCUUAUUCCAUUCUAGGGAUAUCCCACUCUAGGGAUAUCCCGGCUUGGGAAUAAGGAUACCCCGGUUUCGUAUAUUCCAUUCUUCGGAUAUUCCGGUGGGUUUAGGGGCUUGGGCUUAGGGUUGGGCUGGUGUUUUUGGGCUUUUGUUGCAGUGUUUGGGGCCGUGGAUUUAAUAAAUCCAACAUGCCAACUCUAGGCCAUUCAUGAUUUUAGUCCAACAAACCAAAUGGACCGUCUGAAUGAGGGGAAAAGAAUAAAGAAGCCAUCCACUAAGAAAUGAAGCUUCACUCUCCUUUGUUAUAGGGUUUAUGAAUAACGUCGAUUUCAAUCUCUCGUCUCCUGAUAUAUCUACAGCAUUAAAAGUCCACCGUUUCAUUCCAUCUUCGUUUGUUGGGUUUCGGCUCAGAUCGACUCGCGGGUAAGAUUUCGUGCCUUUGUUUCACAGUUCGACUCCUUAUUUCUCUUCUCCUAAAGAUUCUUCUCAAUUGAAUCUUUGGCGUUAUCGUUUUUACACAGCUUUUGGUUUGGAAUUACGGGUCGAUCAUAGGAUGGUUGACUGAAUCGGUUUCCAAAUUGGGUUUUUGUUUUGUGUUGUAAGCAAUUGAGUGAAUUGGGAUUAUAAAUCCAUAAAUGGGUUUUGGAUUUCUUUGUCUUUGUUGUUUCAGAAAGUGAUUUGUUUGAAUUUAUACUUUUGGUUGGUUUAAAAUAGUUUAACUAUUUUGGAGUGGCAUAGGGAUUGUUAUAGUUUAUUUUAAAUGAAAUAAAACACAGUUCAUCCUCAUCUACUCAAUUACUAUAAAUUUAGGGAGACAAGAUGUUUGGGAGUAUGAUCCGGUACUUUUCAACGGAACCCAAGCAGAAUAUGAAGCCAAUCGAGUUGAAAACGUCGCCAGAGCAAAUGCAGACCAUAACCAAGUCGAUGAUACUUGGGAACGAGUCAAGGUCAGUUGUUUAGUGGACUAUAAUUUGUAUUAAUUGUGUAUCUAUAUUUGUUGUUUCCACAUCUAAUUAAGCCAAGCCCAAGAGUGAAGUAAGGGCAGUGCAGUUUUAUUGUUGCAUAAUUUUAGGAUCUUGAAUUCCAUGCAUUGUUGUUUUUUUCAUGCUUUACUUGCCCGCGCUUGACAUAAUGGAGUAGAAAUGUGUUUAUGAGUUCAGGAGGUUGGAUUGAGAGGCCUUACCAGCAAGAGGCACAUGAAGAUCGUGCUGAGAUGGAUGAGAGAGAGACAAAAGAUUAGGCUAAUAUGCAACGUUGUGGGGCCUCACAAACAAUUUCUGUAUACAACUUGGUUCAGUAAACCAAGCAUUAGCCACACUAGAGCUGUCCAUAAUUCCUCAACUUCUACACCUAGUUUUUCUGUCGAUACUUCUAGUCCAAAGUUGUCUUCAGGUUAGGUUGUAGCACGCUUGUGCUGGCUGCAAUACCAUCGAUUGCAGAACAUGUACUGUUUUUUGCAACAGUGUAAUACAAUUGUUCUGUUUUCAUGUUGUGGAAACUUUACCCUCUUCUUCCCAUAUAUUUUCGAUUUUAAUGUACAAAUUCCAAGUUUGAUUACUUAUCAUCAUUUCUGCCAUUCAAACGGCUCUAUAAAAAAAUAAAAACAAAGUAAAAGAGCUAAGAAUUUAUUGAGAAAUCUCGAGAAACAAACAAAAUCGAGAAGGAUUAGAGGAAGAUGGAAAGAGGAACCUUGAUGGUUCUUCGAGGGAGAUUACUAUAGGCAAUUGGCAAGCUGAUAAUUUUUUUGGUUGAUAAUCAUCAAGGUUCCUCUUUCUAUCUUCCUCGGAUCGUUCUUGAUUUUCCCGAUUUGUUCGUUUCCCGAGAUUUCUCAAUAAAUUCUUAGUUCUUUAACUUUGUUUUUCAUUUUCUUCGUUCCUAAAGUUUAGUUCAGUAACUGAAGUUUUUCCGGCUGUGAUGCAUCAAAAUCCUCAGCUAUUUAUUUUAUGAUCAUCUUCUGAUAUUGAAGAAAGUAUUACCUCUUUUUUCUUCUUUGUUUGAAUUUUGUUUAUUUUUCCUGCUUUAAUUUUGGUUUCUUUAUCUUUAAUCUAAGCAGGACCAAACAGCUUACCUUCCCAAAUCCGAGUUAGCUCCUGAAAACCUUGAAAAGGUUAAAAAAAAGAAAAUCAAAUAUAUCAAAAGCCCUUGGGCCUCAGUUCCGCCGAACCCUGUUAAUAGCCUGCUUCCCUUCAAUAUUUAGACCAUGGAACAACAAACUUAAUCAAAUUUGGUAUCUCUUAUAUCAACCUAAAAUGAAGGUAAAAGUUCUGUGAAGGAAGCUGUAUGACCAGGUUCGAUAUGAUCUCAAAGAAAUAGCUUUCCCUUCUUCAUUGCCUGAUCCUCCCCACAUCAAAAAGUGCUGCAAAUUGACUUGGCACGAGCUCUUCUUGGUACUUUUCUUUUCCAAUUUCUCUUCUGCAGUAAGAGUUUUGUUUGCUUAUUGAUUUCUGGGUUUUAAUGAUGAAUGCUGUUAGAUUCUGGGUUCCCCCCUUCCUUUAUAUAAUUGUAUUUUUUUUAUGGUUUAUGUGAUGGAGAAGCUAUAUUAGUACUGGAUUGUAGUUUAGAUAUUACUGCCAGUUUACAGAGCAUGGCUCUUUCAUUUCUCCAUCAUAGUAAAAUAGUGAGCUUGGUUUGUAAAUUAAUCUCUCUUUUUUUUUCUUUUUUUUGUGUCGUUGCUAUUGCUGUAAGCAAAACAUUUUUGAAUUCUGAAGUGUUUCUUUGGAAGAAAAAAGAUGCAUGUUUUUUUACUUUAAAUCAAGAAUGUAUGUUUGGAAGUACUUUACGCUUGAACUAUUAGCAAUUUCUACUCAAAUAUGAUGAUUUUGCCACUUCCUUUUUAUCAUAUAUAAUUUUUUGCUUUUGUUCCAUUGAACAAAUUUUAAAGAAGCAUAAUGGAAAUUUGAAAUUUCACAGAUGCUAGCUGGUGAUCUGGGUGGAAAUUAGAUCAUUGGGAUAUUGAAGUGAUCAAAUGGCUUUUAUGUACUGUUCUGCUUACUUGAUGAUUAACUUAACCACUUGAAUGUCAAAUAAUGCUCAAGAACCUAUUAUUUGCCUACGCAUUAGGGAAUAAGAGGCAUUUAUUUUUAGUAUAUAAGUAGUAAAAACCUGUCAUCCUUCUUUAGGUCUUGAAGGAGGUCUCUAGGCUUUAUGCUGCAAGUUGGGUAAGGGAUAUUGGUGCUGAUCUUAGACCAAACGAUUAUAAGAAGGAUGAUGGGACUGAAGGUAAAUCCAAUGGAGAUAAGAGUAGGAGUACAGACACAGAACCUUCGACCUUGGAGGAUAUUGGUGAGGAACUUUACUUUGUGGUUUCUUAUCUUGAAAUGUUCUGAUGUAUAAGUUGUCUGUAAUGAAUCAAGAAGUAUAUAGCAUGACUUGCAUAAUAUGCGGCAUAUUAUAUGUGCAAUAAACCGUUAGAUUCGUGCUUGAGACAUCUUAUGGAGGUUAAGGAACAAAGUCCCAUAAUGCUUGAGUUCAGUUAGGUUUUCAUUUCAAUUUCCUUUUUCAAUAGAACUUGUCUGGAGGUAGCAUGGAAUUUAUUCUUUGAUUUCUUUUUCCCCUUGCUGGUCAGAGUCAUCCGUGACUGCAUUUUGUUUUAUUAUGUUGUUGGCACCUGUGUUCAAGUCUUAGAUUUUACGCUUCCAUUGGCAUAUUUUUGGUGAACCCCUUCUUCACCAGGCCAAGGUUCAGUUGUUAAGGAAGAUAUUAAGUUAUUGUUUAUCUCCUAGCAAUCUUAGUUAUCUGGGUUUCAUUGUCUAGAGCCAUUACAGUGACGAUCGUACCGUUAUCUUAUGCUACCUAGGUACCUUUUUUUCUUCUCUUUGGUAUCACUCUGAAGAAUGAUAGCAUGAUGUGCCAUCUGCCAACAUUCGAUUUUCUGAACAUCUUAAUAUAUAUUUCUUUAAUUGAUUUUUGAAAGAAAAUUUUUAACUCAUGAUAAUUUUCUACUUAUUCUGUCAUCAUUUACCUUGUUGGUACAGUUUCUCUGUUUCAACUAAAAAUUUUUAGGCCGUAUUUCUCUCGUCUCACCCUUUUUUCUCUCUUAUUUUCCUGAUAUUAUAGUUUAUCUUGUUGAAUUUUACAUUGUUUUGAUGUUGUCUAUGGAAAUGAUUUAAUAGCAAUUGCUGCAAGAGGAGGGAUAGAGACUUUGAGGCCUGCUUUACAGAGGUUAUACAUGACAAGGGCUUCUGCAUAUAGAGAUGCUCUUAAGAGUUUCAUAGAAGGAUAUCAAGAAGGUAUCUAGCAGGUCAUGGAGAAAAAGGAAGAUUCUUCUAAAGCACAGCAAGAUGGCAAUACUGAUAGAAAUUCAACUUGAUGGCUGAUAAUUGCAUAAUUGGAGAUGCAUGUGAGUACUUCUCUAGCAUACCUAUUUUAGAUACAAGUUUAGAGAUUUGGUGGAAGUUGGUUGGCAUGAAAUCACAAGAAUGAUACAUGUCCUGAGAAUUUUCCUGUAUUGAGAAAGUGAGCUUUAGAAACUGCAGAUAUAAUGGGUAUCUCCAUUGACAAUGGUGAUGCUCUUUUCCUAUUUAUAUACAUAUAUAUAUUAAUGAAUUCGGGUCUUCCUGGCAUUCUAGGUGAUAGUUUAUUCUUUAUGGAACUUUGGAUAUGUGGUAAGUAUUUUUGUAUUGGGGAGUAAAUUUUGGUACAGAAAUUGCAUAUUAGUCCAACAUCAUCUGUGUAUUCAGUUGAAUGUGUUUCUGUCUUUGAAAUACGACAGUCUGUUGCUGUCAUGCUUCGUAGUCUCAAAAUUAUCUCAGUUUUAUGGAAUCUUGUGUAGGACUCAUUUAUGAUGCAUAUUUUAUCCCAUUAUAUUUCUGUUUGUCUAAUUGAUAAUAGAAAGAUUUAAGGAUGGUUGUUUUUUUUUUUUUUCUUUGAUUCUUCUGUGUUGGUUCGCGAAAGAAGGAAUGCUUUACGAAUUUUCACUCCUUCAACAGAGAGGACUUCGAGAGGACUGGAAUAAGCACUUUAAUCACUGUGGGAGUCCGAGAUAUUCAGGGUAAGGGAUUUCCCGAUCAGUUUUCUGGGUUGGCUGACUCUGUAUUUCUGGACCUACCACAACCUUGGCUAGCCAUUCCUUCAGCUUGAAAUAUGUUGACACAAGAUGGAACUCUGUGUUCCUUCUCACCAUGCAUCGAACAAGUACAACGUUCAUGUGAAACUCUUAUAUCUGACUUGACAGGUAACAUAUUAGAACCAAGUUUAUCCUAUCUUGUUCAAGCAGUUUUUCUUUUAAAGCAUCAUGAGUUUUGCUUGUAAUAUGCACAGAUAUAUGGACGUUUGAAAUACUGCUCCGCAUGUAUGAAAUCCGUGAAUGGAAAAUGGAUCACUCGAAGGUCAAUGAUAGGAUUUUUAACUUCUUUUUCUUUUUUUUAAUUUUCUCUUCCUCCCUUUCUCUAAUACGCAGAUUCUAUCUGGGUCUCUUUCCAUUUUGUUUCCUUGAAUUUUUUUUUUUUAGCUUUUGUAUAACCACGUGCCAAAAAAACACACUUGUUACAGCAGGAUAUUGACAUCCCACCCUUUAUCGGAUUGUAAUUUCAGGUAUGAUUUUCACUUCGACUAAUUUUUUCUUUUCACGUCUUUUUCAGUUUCAGACCUAUGCUUCUCUUCUUUUAUUUCUGUGGGUAUUGUGGUUUUCAUCUUUAGAACAAGUUUUCAUCUCUGUUUUAGUUUAAGGACAUUUUCUUACAAAUCUUUCAGUCCUAUUUAUGAGAUUUUAUAGCGAAGAUAUGUUCUAUCAACUAUACGAGUAUCUACCCUAAAACCCAAACUGAUUAGCAGAAAAUAAAUGGAAACAUUUUCUUGUUCCUUUCCCUUUUAUUCUCUUGAUAUUCGCUUUUUCAACAAGUAAAAACAUUAUUUAAUAUGUAUCACAAUAUUUUUAUAAACAUUUUAAUUAAUUGUUUUGCAACCACUUUAUAUUAAAUGAUAAAUCAGGUCUAACAUUUAAGAGGCUUUUUAAUGAAAAUGUGUCUUCUAGGGCACGUUUUUAGCUGACGUGGCUGAAAUUGCUCCCUGUAAAACGCUUUUCCAAUGAAAGCGUAUUGGACGUAGGCUGUUAUUGGAGUAUUUAAGGGGAACACUUAUAAGCCAUGUGUCCUUGUUAUUCAAAGGCUGUUAUUGGAGUUUUAUUGGUGGGCUUGUUAUUCAAAGGGGUGCAGUAUUAGGGUGGCUAUGUGAUUUGAUGUAAUGAGGAUAAAGAGUAGUGACAACAGAGUGGUUUAGCUUGGCGUGUUGUGGCCUUGGGCAGAGGGUGGUGAUUGGUGGGGUUGUCCCCAUUGUUGAGGUCUGGUGAAGGUAUGUUAAGUGAGGAUAUGUGUAACAAUUGCCCUCAGUUGAAGGGAAGGUUAUAAAGUAACCUUACCUGAGACAAAAAGUAUUAGUGAAGUCUCUAUGUUCUGGACAAGCUCUGUCUAGAAAAUUUUCUGCCUACUUUGUUUCAUAAAAUUGGAGGAAAUUGUUGCGAAGUUUGUGAUUUGAUUGUUCUUGUGAAAUUCGCACAAGGCCUUGAAGGCAAGGUGUAAACAUUCAAAGUAUGAAUGCAUGAAGCCUUGGAGGCAAAGUAUAAAUGUGCAAGGUGUUUGAGAAGUUUAGUUGUUUGAGAAGUUGAAGUAUGCCUUGAAGGCUGUGUCUAAGAAGACGAAGUAUGCCUUGAAGGCUAAGUGUCAUAGAAGACGAAGCAUGCCUUGAAGGCUAAGUAUUUGAGAAGACGAAGUUUGCCUUAAAGGCUAAGUGCCGAAGAAGAUGAAGUAUGCCUUGAAGGCGGUGUCUAAGAAUAGAAAGUAUGUCUCGUAGGUUAAGUGUUUGAGAAGUAGAAGUAUGCAUUAAAAGCUAAGUUCCUGGAAAUAUGUGCUUGAACAUUGCACAAUAUUUUUCCCUGAAAAACUUGUAAUUACUUAUAUAAUUGUACCUUCUUUGAGGUAUGCCUGAAAAGGUCGAAAGGUACUCGCCAAUGGAGAGUGCUCAUGAUAUUUAUCCCUCCAAAGCUUGAGGAAUGUCAGUAAUUAUUUAUAAUAUGCAGAAGUUAUACAGUGCUUAUCCUUUAGCUAUGUAUGCAUGGAAGUGAGCUUGUCAUAUGUGGCGAGUACCUUUCAACCUAACUGUGCGGUUAGUGAUUUAUAUUUAUAUUAAAUAUACACAAAUUUCUAUUUAUCACUGUUUAUCACUGCCCUGCUUCAGACCUAACUGUGCGGUUUACACAAAUUUAUAUUAAAUAUAAUUUUUACAUAAAUUUUUCACCCGAUGCAAAAAGGCAAGAAACUAGGGUUAGUGAUUAUAUUUAUAGAUGGAAAUAAAGAAGAGCCCAUUGUUUGUUUUGAGUUCUCACUUAACCCGUUUGCCUCUGGCAUCUUCCCUCAUGACUUAGAAAGAAGCUGCCCUUGCUGCUGCUCCCUUUGAUUCUAUUCCCAUGUCAGCCCAGGCCUAUGUUUCUCCUCCUCCUCCUAUUCAUCAAUUUCUUAUUUUAGAAAAAUAAGAAUUCUAUUUUUCUUAUUCAUCAAUGUUGCUUCCCUUUUCCCUUCGAUGUGAAUUACCGGGAUAAGGAAAUCCCAGCUACUGUGGUGUAUGAAAAUGAUAAGGUGCUGAUCUUUUUCCUUUUUACUUCUGAUUUUAAAUUCUGCGGAUUCAGUCACUGCCUAUUUGUACGCCGGAAAGAUCUUUUAGAAGUCAGGCCCUAUUUUUCCCUUCUUGAACUAUGGCUUGAUUCUUGCAACAGGUGAUGCUCAUUUUAUAUAUAUUUUUUGUAUUUGUUUCUUAAAACAAAUUUCCCUCGACCAAAUUCUGGUCGUGACCUGGAACUUGGUCUGGCUUUUAACAAUUCAAAAGGCACUACUUUUGACCUUUUCCGUUUUUAUCUUAAAAUGGAUAGAAAUGCAAACACCCCCGGCCUAAUAAGUUGGAGAAGAUACGUCGUCGUUGUGCAUUUUGACAAGUAGCCUAUUAUUGGCCUAAAGUAAUGCAUGGAGACUUGUGGGGUAGCACAUUCUAAGUUAGAAUGAGAGAGUAGAGGUUCUUUUGUUUGUCUUAAUAGCUGUCUAUAUAAAGGGCUGUGUUUUUUAUUUUUGUUUAAUUUAUUUUCACUAGCUGUCUUGCUAAGAGUAAUAGAUGAGAAUUUGUUGGAAUUUUGAGGGAUGCUGAUUGUAUUUAAGAGGAUGGAUUCUAAGAAAUGAACGUGGAAGUGGCCUCAUGCCUUGAAAUUAUUAGGUUCAUUAAUUGGUCAGUCAGCUGGUCAAAUGUUUUCAGGGAAAUGAGAUAGCAGAUGUAUUAGGUAAGGUUGGCAUUUGAAGGGAAGUAUUUUCAUGGCUUGAUAGUGAUAUUUUCUGUUUUAUUGAGUUCUCUGUGCGAUCAUUGGUAUUUCCAUGUCCUGGCGCUGUCUGUUCUUACUUGGUGUUCAAGUUUUGGUUGACUUGUGCUACUGAUGUUUUAAUUCUACAUAUUGGUACUGAAAUGUCUCUGUCUGAAAUUUUUUAAUUAGCUUUGAAUUUUGCUUCCAUUGGCCGAAAGCUUUAAAGCUAUCACUGUUGCAAAAUUCAAAGCUAAUUAAAAUUUUUUUCAGUGCAAUAGUGAGUACUGAUAUUUCUUUGUUACGAAAGAAAUAAAAUAUAGCCAAACUUCUGUAGCAACUGCUCGUGGGGCUUCUCCUCAUACCAAUAAUCCUAACCUUGCAGCCUCUUUGGUUUUUUAGUUAUGAAACAUAUUUGCUUAACUAAAUUUAAGAGCGUUUUUAUAAGCUUUUACCCAUAAGUCCUCAAAAUGGAGGUUAAUAUUUUAGAUCCUUUUGAUAUCUUUUUCCCCAAUUUGAAUUAUGAGACCAAGAAAAGUUUGCUGUUUUAAAAAAUAAAAGGUAUAAUAAAUAAAACCCAACGGUAAAAAGCUUUUUUUUUGUAACUUCCACAUGGCAGAUGACUUUUGGGGGUUUUGAUUUUGGACUUGGGGUUUGCGAGUCUUUGGGCUUCUGGUGACGUCAUUUUUCCUGUUGGUUCAUUAGAUGACUACAGCGAAGACAUUCCCAUUGAAGGCGAGGAUGAUCUAGAAGAUGAUGCAGAACCGAAAAAUGAAAACCGGUCCUCAUGAAUGUGAAUAAUGUUUUCAAUCAACCAAGAGGUUUAUUAGUGCAAAAAGAUUGAUGGCAAUAUCUUGCUAUGCUAUGAGGCUUUAAUUAUUUGAGAAGUUGGCAACUUGGUUUAAUGGCCCACACUUUUCCAACUCUCAUCAGCAGAGGAGAGCACCUAUUCAAGUUGUGGGCUUUUGUUGAGGUUUCUUUCAUUCUUUCUAAAAUAAUGUAUAAACAUCAAAUAUUAUAUCAACCCGAAUCAAAUGCCUAAUUGCGUACCGUUAGUUUUCUUUUCCUCUACCCGAAUCAAAAUCCGUAUUUCUGGACCUACCGCAACCUUAGCUAGCCAUUCCUUCAGCUUGAAACAUGUUGAAACAAGAUGGAACUCUGUGUUCCUUCUCACCGUGCAUCGAACAAGUUGCACGUUCAUGUGAAACUCUUAGAUCUGACUUUACAGGUGACAUAUUAGAAACAAGUUACGCUAUCUUGUUCAAGCAGUUUUUCUUUUAAAGCAUCAUGAGCUUUGCUUGUAAUAUGCACAGAUAUAUAUGGACGUUUGAAAUACUGCUCCUCAUGUAUGAAAUCCAUGAAUGGAAAAUGGAUCACUCGAAGGUCAAUGAUAGGAUUUUUACUUUCUUUUUCUUUUGUUUUGUUUUGUUUUUUUUUUAAUUUUCUCUUCCUCCCUUUCUUUAAUACGCAGAUUCUAUCUGGGUCUCUUUCCAAUUUUUUCCUUAUUUUUUUUUUUAGCUUUUGUGUAACCACGUGCCAACAAAACACACUUGCUACAGCAGGAUAUUGAAAUCCCACCCUUCAUCGGAUUGUAAUUUCAGGUAUGAUUUUCACUUUGACUAACUUUUUAUUUUCACGUCUUUUUUAGUUUCAGACCUAUGCUUAUCUUCUCUUAUUUCUGUGGGUAUUGUGGUUUUCAUCUCUGUUUUAGUUUUCAGAUUUAUGCUUCUUUUUUAGUUUUUUCAUUGUUUUUUUGUUAUUCGUUUUGGUGUUCAGCCUUAUGAGACACUGCUUAUAUUCGUCUUUUUAAAUCUUGUGAUGUCCUCAUUUUUUUGAUAGGUUAUCGCUUGUUAUGUGUUUUCUUUUUUUCGAUUAUUUGUUUCCCUCUGUAUUUAAGCACAUUUUCUUACAAAUCUUUCAGUCGUAUUUAUGAGAUUUUAUAGCCAACAUAUGUUUCUAUCAACUAUACGAGUAUCUAUCCUAAAACCCUAACUGAUUAGCAGAAAAUAACUGGAAACAUUUUCUUGUUUCUUUCCCUUUUAUUGUCUCUUGAUUUUCCCUUUUUCAACAAGUAGAAAUAUUUUAUUUAAGAAAACACUAAUUAAAUCAUACUGAAUUUUUAAAUAUUUUCAGAGAAUUGGACAUUAAAUAUUCUCGACGUUUUAGUAAGUACUGUGUUAUUUGGUUAGCUUGUUAUUGGGUUGGCUUGUGUCUGAGCAGAUUUUUCUUGUUAAUAUUCAUUCUUAUUCUGCACAAAAAUACCCCAUUAUAUUCCAUUGCGGGAUAAGCUAUUCCUCUGUCAUCUUCAGGAUAUCCCGUUCCGGUUUAGUAUUUUGGUGCCCGGUUCAGCUGAUUUGAUAACCGGUUCAGAGUUUUUGACGUGUUUGAACCGGGAUACCUGUCAUGGUUAUUCCUGCUAGCGAUAUCCCAUUCCAGGGAUAUCCCGGGUUUGGGAUAUCCUAAGAAAGGAUAACACGGUCUGGUAUAUCCCAUUCUAGGGAUAUCCGGUUUGGGUUCUGAGGGUUUGAGGUUUACUGUUGGGCUGGUGUGUUUGGGCUUUCGUUUGAGUGUAUGGGGAUGUGGACCUCUUAGGUUUUGGUUACUGGGUUAUUGAGCUUAGGUUGCAUGUCAUGUACUGGACUGAUUUUGGGCCUUUAUUUAGUUAGUCUGAUGGGCCCUUAUAUUAUUAUUUUGUUGCCUUGCUUUGGGUUUUAUUCAGGCCAUGUUUGGUUCAAUGUAAUGGUUAUGCCAUUGCAACCUUAUUCCGUGGGCCCACCUUAAACACAUGUUUGGUUCAAUGGAAUGCCCUAUUACGGGCUUAUUCCAUUACGGGCCUAGGUAAUGAAAUGUCUGGUUUUGAGCUUAGGUUGUACCCCAUUUACUGGACUGAUUUUGGGGCUUCAUUUAGUUAGUCAGAUGAGCCCUUUAUAUGGGUUUUAUUGUGUUUUAUGUAUAAACUGUUUAUUUAGCUAUUUUAGUAUCCAGUCCGAUAUUUUUUCAAAAAUAAAAUAAAAUUCAAACCGUUUUCAAAAUAAAUGAUAUAAAAACUCUUUCUUCAUUCAUCUUUCUCACGUUCGGUUCUCCUUUAUUCUCUCCUCUUUUCUACUAUUUUUCUUCUUUUUUCCUCUUCCUCCUUUAUUGUCCUUUCUAACAAAGCGCUGCCGCUUCCUCCACACACUUUCCAGCGUCUUACAUCCGAUCAGGCCAGCUUCCUUCCCAUCAUUCGAAAUUUAAAUCCUCAAAUAUAUCUAUCCAAUCCAUUGCCCCCCAUUUCUUCGAAGAUUCUCUCUCACUCUCGGUCUCUUUUCAACGUUUUCCUGUCAUUCUUUUUUAGCUUUGGGUAUCCACAGGCCAAAAACACACGCUAGAGUAGGAAGAGAGUAUUGUGAAAGAGAAACCCUAGGUUUUCUCUGGCGUUUCUGGUUUUUGUGAUUUUUGAAAUUCGCUGCUUCAACGGAGACUCAUUUCAGGUAUCAAUCUCUUUUUUAGUUUCAGCUCCAUGCUUUUUUACUUGUAUUUCAGUGGAUUUUUCUUAGGGUUUUUGGUUUUCAGCUUUAGAAAUACUGUUUCGUUCCGUCUUUCAGAUCUAUA